UACGGGGGGGGCAAGCGUUGUUCGGAAUUACUGGGCGUAAAGGGCUCGUAGGUGGCCAACUAAGUCAGACGUGAAAUCCCUCGGCUUAACCGGGGAACUGCGUCUGAUACUGGAUGGCUGGAGUUUGGGAGAGGGAUGCGGAAUGCUUGGUGUAGAGGUGAAAUUCGUAGAUAUCAAGCGGAACACCGGUGGCGAAGGCGGUCUGCUGGGGUAAUGCUGACACUGAUGCGCGACAGCGUGGGGAGCAAACAGG
rnacentral:rRNA from 1 species